CGGUCUGCGCCUGCGCGCUCGGCCCCGGGAGGCGCGAGCCACCGGUCGGCUGAGGCUGGGCGGCCUCGCCCUCGGCCGCUCCCGUCAGCGCUCGGCAACGGCUCGCUGCGGAGUGGCAGGUGACUGAUGUGAGGCAAGCGUGGGGAGUAAGAGAAGGCAAUGUGAGCAGGCCUGGAGAGCAUGACACCCAGCAGCACCCCAAGGCCUUUUCAUGAGCUCCCACCUCCAGAUUACAGCGCUGACUUUCCUUCACAAUGGACUGAGAUGUGGAGGAAUCCACGGAGUUUCUUCAUUCGGGCCUCGCUCCUGCCACAGAUGUCACAAAGGAGAAACAGAAUGGAAGUACAAGAAAGCAUGUAUCCUCCCAAAAGUAUUAAUCCCUUAAAGAUGGACUCCAAUGAAAACAACUUCCAGAAAAGUCAAAAGAAUGAUUAAAAUUGCACUCAAGAAAAACAAAGAGAAUCCAAAGCUGAAUGAACUAAAGUUGCCAAUACAAAAUAUGAAAACAGAAGUCAAUAAAGAGAAUUGCCGAUAAAAAGUCAAAGUGAAAUGAUGGGAAGUAAAACACUCAGUAAGCCAACUAGAAACCACCGAGGAAAGCCUCAGCAACAGACAGAUCACAUAGAAAACAGUGCUGGAACCAGAGGGCAAGGGGCAUGAUUCUGCCAGCUGAAGAUAAUUUGCACUUGG